rnacentral:snoRNA from 1 species
UUUUCAAUGAUGAUUUUCGUUUUUACCUUGGGACACCUAUGAAAUGCCUUGAUUAGUGUAAAGUUAUGUUUUUCUGAUGACAA